ANGACGAGUCGUCUUUUAGAUGACGAAGUGGUUGAUGCCAUGCUUCAAGAAAGCUUCUAAGCUUCAGGUAACCAGGAACCGUACCCCAAACCGACACAGGUGGUCGGGUAGAGAAUACCAAGGCGCUUGAGAGAACUCGGGUGAAGGAACUAGGCAAAAUGGCACCGUAACUUCGGGAGAAGGUGCGCCGGCUAGGGUGAAGGAUUUACUCCGUAAGCUCUGGCUGGUCGAAGAUACCAGGCCGCUGCGACUGUUUAUUAAAACACAGCACUCUGCAAACACGAAAGUGGACGAUAGGGUGUGACGCCUCCCCGGUGCCGGAAGGUUAAUUGAUGGGGUUAGCGCAAGCGAAGCUCUUGAUCGAAGCCCGGUAAACGGCGGCCGUAACAAUAACGGUCCUAAGGUAGCGAAAUUCCUUGUCGGUAAGUUCCGACCUGCACGAAUAGCGUAACGAUGGCGGCGCUGUCUCCACCCGAGACUCAGUGAAAUUGAAAUCGCUGUGAAGAUGCAGUGUAUCCGCGGCUAGACGGAAAGACCCCGUGAACCUUUACUGUAGCUUUGCACUGGACUUUGAGCCUGCUUGUGUAGGAUAGGUGGGAGGCUUUGAAGCGUGGACGCCAGUUCGCGUGGAGCCAUCCUUGAAAUACCACCCUGGCAUGCUUGAGGUUCUAACUCUGGUCCGUAAUCCGGAUCGAGGACAGUGUAUGGUGGGCAGUUUGACUGGGGCGGUCUCCUCCUAAAGGGUAACGGAGGAGUACGAAGGUGCGCUCAGACCGGUCGGAAAUCGGUCGCAGAGUAUAAAGGCAAAAGCGCGCUUGACUGCGAGACAGACACGUCGAGCAGGUACGAAAGUAGGUCUUAGUGAUCCGGUGGUUCUGUAUGGAAGGGCCAUCGCUCAACGGAUAAAAGGUACUCCGGGGAUAACAGGCUGAUACCGCCCAAGAGUUCAUAUCGACGGCGGUGUUUGGCACCUCGAUGUCGGCUCAUCACAUCAUGGGGCUGAAGCCGGUCCCAAGGUAUGGCUGUUCGCCAUUUAAAGUGGUACGCGAGCUGGGUUUAGAACGUCGUGAGACAGUUCGGUCCCUAUCAGCCGUGGACGUUUGAGAUUUGAGAGGGCUGCUCCUAGUACGAGAGGACCGGAGUGGACGAACCUCUGGUGUUCCGGUUGUCACGCCAGUGGCAUUGCCGGGUAGCUAUGUUCGGAAAAGAUAACCGCUGAAAGCAUCUAAGCGGGAAACUUGCCUCAAGAUGAGAUCUCACUGGGAACUUGAUUCCCUGAAGGGCCGUCGAAGACUACGACGUUGAUAGGCUGGGUGUGUAAGCGUUGUGAGGCGUUGAGCUAACCAGUACUAAUUGCCCGUGAGGC
rnacentral:rRNA from 1 species